CACUGACAUUAGAUACCCCCGUAGUCCAGGGUGUAAACGCUGCAGACUUGGUGUUGGGGGCCCUUUGGGGGCAUUCAGUGCCGGAGAGAAGUUGUUAAGUCUGCUACUUGGGGAGUACGUCCGCAAGGAUGAAACUUAAAGGAAUUGGCGGGGGAGCACCGCAACGGGAGGAGCGUGCGGUUUAAUUGGAUUCAACACCGUAAACUCACCAGGGAAGACUGUUACAUGAAGGCCGAGAUGAAGACUCUGCUAGAUUUUCAG
rnacentral:rRNA from 1 species